UGGGGAAUUUUGGACAAUGGGCGCAAGCCUGAUCCAGCAAUGCCGCGUGCAGGAUGAAGGCCUUCGGGUUGUAAACUGCUUUUGUACGGAACGAAAAAGCUCUCUCUAAUACAGGGGGUGAAUGACGGUACCGUAAGAAUAAGCACCGGCUAACUACGUGCCAGCAGCCGCGGUAAUACGUAGGGUGCAAGCGUUAAUCGGAAUUACUGGGCGUAAAGCGUGCGCAGGCGGUUUUGUAAGACAGAGGUGAAAUCCCCGGGCUCAACCUGGGAACUGCCUUUGUGUCUGCAAAGCUGGAGUGCGGCAGAGGGGGAUGGAAUUCCGCGUGUAGCAGUGAAAUGCGUAGAUAUGCGGAGGAACACCGAUGGCGAAGGCAAUCCCCUGGGCCUGCACUGACGCUCAUGCACGAAAGCGUGGGGAGCAAACA
rnacentral:rRNA from 1 species